rnacentral:rRNA from 1 species
GCGAACGCUGGCGGCAGGCCUAACACAUGCAAGUCGCACGAACUCUUCGGAGUUAGUGGCGGACGGGUGAGUAACACGUGGGAACGUGCCUUUUGGUUCGGAAUAACUCAGGGAAACUUGUGCUAAUACCGAAUGUGCCCUUCGGGGGAAAGAUUUAUCGCCAUUAGAGCGGCCCGCGUCUGAUUAGCUAGUUGGUGAGGUAACGGCUCACCAAGGCGACGAUCAGUAGCUGGUCUGAGAGGAUGACCAGCCACACUGGGACUGAGACACGGCCCAGACUCCUACGGGAGGCAGCAGUGGGGAAUCUUGCGCAAUGGGCGAAAGCCUGACGCAGCCAUGCCGCGUGAAUGAUGAAGGUCUUAGGAUUGUAAAAUUCUUUCACCGGGGACGAUAAUGACGGUACCCGGAGAAGAAGCCCCGGCUAACUUCGUG